GAUGAACGCUGACAGAAUGCUUAACACAUGCAAGUCGAUGGGGAAGUGGUGCUUGCACCAUGGCAACCAUGGCGGACGGGUUAGUAACGCGUAAGGGACUUACCUGCAGGACUGGGAUAACAGGGGGAAACUCCUGACAAGACCGGAUAAUGUCAUGGAGCUGCAUGGCUUUAUGAUGAAAGGAGACGCCUGCGGAGAGCCUUGCGUCCUAUUAGCUAGUUGGUGAGGUAAUGGCUCACCAAGGCGAAGAUAGGUAGCCGGCCUGAGAGGGUGGACGGCCACAAGGGGACUGAGAUACGGCCCUUACUCCUACGGGAGGCAGCAGUGGGGAAUAUUGGACAAUGGGGGCAACCCUGAUCCAGCAAUUCUGUGUGCACGAAGAAGGUUUUCGGAUUGUAAAGUGCUUUCAGCAGGGAAGAAGUAAGUGACGGUACCUGCAGAAGAAGCGACGGCUAAAUACGUG
rnacentral:rRNA from 1 species